rnacentral:rRNA from 1 species
GUGCUUAACACAUGCAAGUCGAACGAUGAACCUCCUUCGGGAGGGGAUUAGUGGCGAACGGGUGAGUAACACGUGGGCAAUCUGCCCUUCACUCUGGGACAAGCCCUGGAAACGGGGUCUAAUACCGGAUACGACACGGGGUCGCAUGACCUCCGUGUGGAAAGCUCCGGCGGUGAAGGAUGAGCCCGCGGCCUAUCAGCUUGUUGGUGGGGUGAUGGCCUACCAAGGCGACGACGGGUAGCCGGCCUGAGAGGGCGACCGGCCACACUGGGACUGAGACACGGCCCAGACUCCUACGGGAGGCAGCAGUGGGGAAUAUUGCACAAUGGGCGAAAGCCUGAUGCAGCGACGCCGCGUGAGGGAUGACGGCCUUCGGGUUGUAAACCUCUUUCAGCAGGGAAGAAGCGAGAGUGACGGUACCUGCAGAAGAAGCGCCGGCUAACUACGUGCCAGCAGCCGCGGUAAUACGUAGGGCGCAAGCGUUGUCCGGAAUUAUUGGGCGUAAAGAGCUCGUAGGCGGCUUGUCGCGUCGGAUGUGAAAGCCCGGGGCUUAACCCCGGGUCUGCAUUCGAUACGGGCAGGCUAGAGUUCGGUAGGGGAGAUCGGAAUUCCUGGUGUAGCGGUGAAAUGCGCAGAUAUCAGGAGGAACACCGGUGGCGAAGGCGGAUCUCUGGGCCGAUACUGACGCUGAGGAGCGA